rnacentral:rRNA from 1 species
CCUGAGAAACCCGAAAGAUCGAAUGGGGAGAUUCAUCGUCAGCGAUUGUGGUACGUGUGCGGUUCGCGAUGCCGGAGGCCUCGGUUUCAUGGCACGCGUCCGCAUGUCUUUUAUUGCCUCAGUCGUCUGCGUGCACUUCUCCCCUAGUAGGACGUCGCGACCCGUUGGGUGUCGGUCUACGACCCGGAUGGUAGCCUGUCUCGUGUGCGUCUCACGGCGUUACGCGGGGCAGACCACCGUGUGUCUGGCCGGCUGCCCGGCGGUACUCGCACGGUAUCUGGCCGCAAACAUUCGAACUGCGUCCGGCCCGUCGCAAGCGAGACAAGUGUUUCCCGGCUGUACGGAUUUAAUGCCGUCACCGGGCCUUGCCAGCUGUUGGUUGACGGUGUCCUAGGACUGGCUAAUACAAUUAUGAUACCGGUCGGCGACGCUACUGCUUUGGGUACUUUCAGGACCCGUCUUGAAACACGGA